CUUGUACUCCCUCCGUCCGAAAAUACUUGUCAUUGAAAUGGAUGUAUCUAGAUGUAUUUUAGUUCUAUACACGUCCAUUUUGAUCAAGUAAUUCCGGAUGGAGGGAGUACUUG
rnacentral:pre_miRNA from 1 species